CAGCACUCGGAUGUCAGUUCAUCAACAUCAGGGUCAGAAGAAGAUGAUGAAGAAAUCCACAACCAAUCUGAGUGAAUCAGAUGACACAUCUGAAAUUGACC